rnacentral:piRNA from 1 species
UCGGAUGGUGUCUCUACAGACUAAACUU